AAUUUUCGCUCCAACGAAUCCUGAUAUAAAAUUGAAAAAGUCACCAGUCUUUAUUUUGGAGACUUAUGUUGUCAGCAUUGGUUCCAUUCUCGGUAUUUGGUUUGGUUUCAGCAUGGUUCAUCAUUUAGGUUCAUUAGGGAGUCACUUGCUAAAGCUAAAAAAUAUCAGCAAAUUUUCGUGGAAUAAUAUUUGUCAUCGUGAUGAAAAACCACUAAAGAAAUCAGUUAACUUAAAUUGUGAACAAAUUAAUCAAAAACAAAAUACCGCUGAACGUCCAGCUAUUGUGUAUUACCGAACACAUGGUUUAUUAAGCCGAGCCAGAGCUGCUAUUGCUGAAAGCCGGAGGAUUAGUGAGUUAAGCCGUUUAUAAUUGUUUUCAUCUGUUUUAUUGACUGACUAUUUUUGAUAUCAGUUGAUUAAUAAUAAUGCUAAUUGUUAUUACAACCCAAACUUACUUUAUUUUUAUUUAAAAGUUGUUACCCAAAAACCCCAGAGUUUACUUUUGAGCUAAAUCAGCUUCACCGUUACAAUGCCUUUGAUAAUAGCUGCAUCGAGAGCAAGAAUCUUGAAAAAUUAUCCUAUUUUUGUUUUGAUGAAACAAAAAAAACAUAGUUCUGGAUGAAAAACAAUGAUAAUAACAUCAUCAACACCAUUAUAGUGUAAAAUCUUUUGAGGAUUGGAAAAUUGAAAACAAUGAAAUGUUUUGUUUUUUUUCUAUUGCUGUUGCUGGAACACUUUUGAAUCAAAUGAUAAAUUGGCUUGGAUGAAAAUAAACAAAGUGAAUGUUAUGACGAAGAUAAGAUGAUAAAAACAAUGGUGAGAUGACUUUGCUAAAGAAUUAAGAAAAAAGGUCUUUGCUUUCUUCUUAUUCAGAGUAUUCCAGUCAACAUAAUCUAUCUUCUUGUUUUUGCUGUCUAAAGUGUUAUUCUCAAUAGAAAUGGAGGGAAUUUGAUGAUGAACAUUUAAAUGGUUAAACCAAUCGUUUUCAUGGUUAACUGAAUCGGAUUUGGAGGCAAGAAAUUCUCAUCAAAUCUCAAGGGAAGAAGACAAAGGAGGAAGAAGGAAAGAAAAGCUCACAAAUAUUCCUUAUUUUGUUAUCCAUUUUGGGUCGCAAGAAAGCCAGGCAAAGAUGAAAAUGGUACAUCGAUUUUUGGAUUGGUCCUUAUUAUUGUUGCUAUUAUUAAUAAUAAGAUGUUCGUUGAUUCUUGUUAUUGUUCAAUUUUGUUUGGUAAACAUUUAUUUCUCGAAAAGGAAGACAAUUUUGAUCAAGAAAAUUGAUAAAAGCCCAACACAAUUCAUCUUGUAUCUUCACUUGGCAUUUGAAAAAACACAAAGAGACUUGGAAAAAUUCAAACAUAAAGAUUAACUCGAUCGUUUAAAAUCAAAUAUACCGACGAUUCUGAUUCAAAUAUCAAUGGCUAAAGCUGUAAUCCAUUUGGUCAAUGGUUCCAUAAAUCGUCCAGCAACAUCAAGAGCAAAGAGCAAUUUUCAAUUUUAAUGAUGACCUUAGAGAUUCUCAAGACGAUGUCAAACCAUCAACAAUCUAAUUUGGUUAUAAGCUGAAAUGUGAAUUAUUGGUACCAAAAUGGUGGAAAAAUUUGCGACCAAAUUGAUUGCAAGCUCACCCAAAUUUGCAGCUUCAUCAUUAAACUAAUCAUACUGAUCAUCAUAUUUUUCCCAAGGCACUACUAAACCAUAUUUAUCCUUCAUAAUAAUACAAUUUACAAUGAUUUUUGAUGACUGUGAAGAUGGGAAAGGAUAAUGAAGAGCCAGGAAGAUGAAGCAAGGAAUCAGCCGAUGUUACCAUUUCAACCUUCCCUUUGAGUUGAUAAAUUAACGGUGAAAAAAAUAGCCUGAUGAUAAUGACUUGGCCUAAGCUUCUUAAUACUUUUUACCCUUCAUCCUAAUCAUCAUCAUUAUCAUGUAUUUUUAUUUUUCAUCUUGCCAUCUUCAAUCAGCUUAAGGGUAGACAAAAUUGUCUGAAAACAAGUCAUUACAAAUCAAAAUAAAAGAGAUUUGCCAUGAAAAGGUUUUAUCACAAUAAUACAAUGAAGAUGGUUUAGAUGAUGAAUAAACUCAACCCCUGAACCAAAUUUAUAUUGAACAGAGAUGAAUAUGAUUAGUGAAUGUUUACUUUACCUGAAUGCUGAUAAAUUAUGAAAUAUCAACCAAAUGGAAAUGUAUUUUUUUUGCUGUUUGACAAUUUUAAUGAAAUUGUUUUUUUCUC